rnacentral:lncRNA from 1 species
CCGCGGCCCGCGCUGUAACCGCGGCUGCCGCUGCUGCUCCGGGCGGGCGUUGGUGCCGUGUGCCGAGGCGCCCUGUCAGGCGAUGGGGAGCGGCUGGGCGGGGAGAGCCGACGGCCGCGGCGGCGCCUGAGGAACGCAGCCGGGCUCGGGAGCGGCGAGGGCGGGCCGGUCCAGCGGCGGAGGAGCGAGGCGGGGCGAGGCAGGCGGCGCGGGGACCCACACCAGGCGCCUUGUGUGCGAGGCCGAGCGGCGGCCGCGGACAGAGAGCCGGCGACCCCCGGCAGGAGGAGAAGGAGCCGGAGGACGCGCCGAGGGACUGCGGGGCCGGGGCGGGCGAGCAGCG